rnacentral:rRNA from 1 species
AUUGAACGCUAGCGGGAUGCCUUACACAUGCAAGUCGAACGGAGUGGCGAACGGGUGAGUAAUGUAUCUGAACGUGCCCAUUCGCGGGGGAUAAGUACGCGAAAGCGUAGCUCAUACCGCAUACUAUUGGAGCGGCAGCUAUCGGUUUAGCUAGUUGGUGGGGUAAGGGCUCACAAAGGCGACGAUCCGUAGCUGGUUUGAGAGGACGACCAGCCACACUGGGACUGAGACACGGCCCAGACUCCUACGGGAGGCAGCAGUGGGGAAUUUUGGACAAGUGGGGAAACCCUGAUCCAGCCAUCCCGCGUGUGCGAUGAAGGCCUUCGGGUUGUAAAGCACUUUUGGCAGGAAAGCGGUACCUGCAGAAUAAGCACCGGCUAACUACGUGCCAGCCGCCGCGGUAAUUC